GAUGAACGCUGGCGGCGUGCCUAAUACAUGCAAGUCGAGUGAAUGGAUUAAGAGCUUGCUCUUAUGAAGUUAGCGGCGGACGGGUGAGUAACACGUGGGUAACCUGCCCAUAAGACUGGGAUAACUCCGGGAAACCGGGGCUAAUACCGGAUAACAUUUUGAACCGCAUGGUUCGAAAUUGAAAGGCGGCUUCGGCUGUCACUUAUGGAUGGACCCGCGUCGCAUUAGCUAGUUGGUGAGGUAUCGGCUCACCAAGGCAACGAUGCGUAGCCGACCUGAGAGGGUAAUCGGCCACACUGGGACUGAGACACGGCCCAGACUCCUACGGGAGGCAGCAGUAGGGAAUCUUCCGCAAUGGACGAAAGUCUGACGGAGCAACGCCGCGUGAGUGAUGAAGGCUUUCGGGUCGUAAAACUCUGUUGUUAGGGAAGAACAAGUGCUAGUUGAAUAAGCUGGCACCUUGACGGUACCUAACCAGAAAGCCACGGCUAACUACGUGCCAGCCGCCGCAGUAA
rnacentral:rRNA from 1 species